rnacentral:rRNA from 1 species
GACGAACGCUGGCGGCGUGCUUAACACAUGCAAGUCGUACGGUAAGGCCCUUUCGGGGGUACACGAGUGGCGCACGGGUGAGUAACACGUGAGUAACCUGCCCACAACUUUGGGAUAACGCUAGGAAACUGGUGCUAAUACUGGAUAUGUGCUCCUGCUGCAUGGUGGGGGUUGGAAAGCUCCAGCGGUUGUGGAUGGACUCGCGGCCUAUCAGCUUGUUGGUGGGGUAGUGGCCUACCAAGGCGGCGACGGGUAGCCGGCCUGAGAGGGUGACCGGCCACAUUGGGACUGAGAUACGGCCCAGACUCCUACGGGAGGCAGCAGUGGGGAAUAUUGCACAAUGGGCGCAAGCCUGAUGCAGCAACGCCGCGUGCGGGAUGACGGCCUUCGGGUUGUAAACCGCUUUCAGCAGGGACGAAGCUUUUUGUGACGGUACCUGCAGAAGAAGCACCGGCUAACUACGUG